UGUGGUUAAUUUGCAGGAUAUAAAGAGGUGAGAGACCUUGGAUUUGGUGAGAGGAAAGAAGGUGGUGUAGAAGUGUUGAUUGAUUGGCGGCGAACCUGGGUCACAGGUGGUUAAGGCUCCAAGAGAUAGCAGAUGCUGGUGACUUUUCAGAAAAGUAAGGUAAAGUUUGGUAAAGUUAUCUGGAGUGAGAAAAGAGGUAAGGAAAAGAGAAAGAAGUGUGAGAUGAGCAACAAGACUGAGGAUGGAUGGAAAUUUUCCAAUUUUGAGUACAGCAGCUGGGCAUGCGUAAGAGGGUUGUACUGGACCAGGAUCGCAAUGGGUUCGGAUCUGGAUCAGCCUGCCGUGUCAUGGAACUCCACCAGUCGACAUUAAGUGAAUAUGGAGGACGAAGGGCAUGGAGAGCGGUCCUGAGACUAGAUGAGCUGCAACAGAUGCAUGGGAGAGACAGCUGAGAAAUUCAUCUGCUCCGGGGGCACAACCCUUUGUUCUCAUCUACAUCUGCAAAUUGUGCACCAAAGACCCACAAAUCAGCACAUUCCCCGAGUGACCAGUUUCAAACCUUAUUCUUGCAGCGUGACAUCAUAAUGAAAGGUGCAAGCGGGGACAUGUACUGUAUAUUAAGUCCACAGAAGAUGUGUAUUGGGACAACUCAAGAGCACCCUCGGCUGAAAGAACUCAUAAAGCAACGUGGCUUCUAAACAGAUGAACGCUGCUGUGAUUUACUGUGGCUUUUCCAAGCGUCCCGUCUCACUGACAUUUUCAAUUAAGCGAAUGAACCCGGGCUCACUCCGGAGAGGGGAAGGACACGCGGGUCUGCUCCUGACGGCCGACUGACAGCCCUCCCCGGGGCGCUGCCGAGUGCUCGGCGGUGACUCCGAUCCGGUCCCAUCGCUCGCGCCUGCCUUAAAAGACAAAUCAUGUCACUCAAGUAUCGGCGCACAAGCCAUCCGUCAAAAUCCUUAGGCAACUGAGGGCAGGACGAGAGCUGGGAGAUUAUGGGAACUUCGCCCACAGGCCUGCAGAUAAUUCAGGGAAAUUUUAAAAGUAAUUAAGGCAAGACAGGAAAUGUGCACAAGUGACUCAAUUUCCCAUCCAUUUCCCAGAGAAUCAACAUUUCAUUACAAAGGUACAAUUCCAAAGCAUAAAUAACAAGUGCAGCAUGGCAGGAAUUCAAAUAUUUGAAAUAAUGGAUUUGUUGCUAGGAUGCAUCCGAUAUGUCUGUAGAUCUUAAUGAUUCCAAUUUAAAAAGUAAUUUGUUGUUUUUCUCAUAACGUUCAUUGUUACUCUUAUCUGAAUGAGAAAGCCAUCUGUUCCAAUAAUAGUUGUGAUAUAACCACAAUAUAAAGUAAAUCAGUGUUGGCAAAUAAAGUAUCUGGGCUAGCCGAAACACUUUAAGUAUUGUUUCACAAUUUGAAUGUCGAGUCAUUUAAAAUCUCCACUAGUUGCAAAGCAUUGAUAAAAGAAUAAAAAGAGAUAUAUUGCUCAUGUCAUUUUAACAAGAAACAUCAAUUAAAAUCAUUAAUCACCAUUAAGCUAAACACACUUUAUGUGAUGGUUUAAGGGUUAGGACUCUAAGGGAUCAGGGUGCCAAUCAGACCUCCAUGUCUAAAUUAAUAUGAUGCACACCAAUAAAAGAAAAUUUAAAAAAAGAAAAAAAAAAAAUCAUUGAAAAUGUUUUCGAUGAAAGGUACGUUAACUUUACCUGUUUAGUUGUCAUUUCAUCAUAGUAUUGCUUAAAGAAUAAAGUCAAUACACCUCAUCAAAGAAUAAUUCAUCCUAUUAAGCUCUAUUCACAGCCUUUUAAGGAAAUAUUUGUUGACUCUCUUCAAUUCUGACACCUCUAAUGCCUUUGUCUUAUGACCAAUUUGUCAAUGUAAACAGGGUAUUAGUGUCUGUAAUGAGUACUGUCCUUCAAGAAUAUGAAUGGGUUAUCUCAUGGUUUAUAGUCAUCUAUGGAAACUAAAGCAUGUCCUUGAGGGUCUCUGCAGUGUUAUUACUCAAUAAUUGGUCUUUCAGAUUGUAAUUCAAUGACAAACUCAGAAAGUCAAUAUCAGAACUGAGAGAAACACAACCCCCAGAAUGCAAAAUGUAUGUGUGGGGUUUGGCUCUUUACGGUAAUAAAUGAAAAACUGUCUUCUUCCCACCUCUCACUUUGAGCUCCCUUUAUUGUUUUAUUUAUUGUGAAGCGGGAGCCUAUUCUUAUAUUUGCUUUAUUUAAUGAAUAUCAGAUAUCCUUGUCUCAGCUGAGGGUGCAGAAAGUGGCGGAAGUACAUUUUGUGCUUUUUUAACCGCAGUAAACCUGAAAACUUGGGGGAAAGAAAGUUCCCAGGUCUUUUGGGAAAUCCUGAUUUCUGGUGAAAUAGAAUUGUUAUAUGUACAUACAUACGUACAUACAUACAGACACAUGUGU